GACGAACGCUGGCGGCGUGCUUAACACAUGCAAGUCGAACGGUGAACCUCUUCGGAGGGGAUCAGUGGCGAACGGGUGAGUAACACGUGGGCAACCUGCCCCCGACUCUGGGAUAACUCCAAGAAAUUGGGGCUAAUACCGGAUGUUCACCGCUUCCCUCAUGGGUGGUGGUGGAAAGGGUUUCCGGCUGGGGAUGGGCCCGCGGCCUAUCAGCUUGUUGGUUGGGUAGUGGCCUACCAAGGCGACGACGGGUAGCCGGCCUGCGAGGGUGACCGGCCACACUGGGAAUGAGACACGGCCCAGACUCAUACGGGAGGCAGCAGUGGGGAAUAUUGCGCAAUGGGCGGAAGCCGGACGCAGCGACGCCGCGUGGGGGAUGACGGCCUUCGGGUUGUAAAACUUUUUCAGCAGGGACGAAGCGCAAGUGACGGUACCUGCAGAAGAAGCACCGGCCAACUACGU
rnacentral:rRNA from 1 species